rnacentral:tRNA from 1 species
CGGGGCGUAGCGCAGCCUGGCAGCGCACCUGCCUUGGGAGCAGGGGGUCGGCAGUUCAAAUCUGCCCGCCCCGA